AUUGUAUUUCAUCUGUGCUCAUAUAUAUUUUGUAUACACACACACACACACGUAGUCUCUUGUGUCAAUAAAGUAAGUGAAAGUCUCACACUGGGCAGAUAAGAAUUACGCAACUCUGUAUCUUGAAAUGCACAUUCUCAUAUAACGAAUGGAUCUGCCAGGACCAUGAAUUAAAUGCUAUCUGAGCAUGGGGAGAACAGAGCCCACAUGACAAAACCACUAGAAGGCUAACGUAAGCAUGCAGACUACAAGAUAGCAAGAAAUCAGAUACAAGAAUAACACAGUUAUAAAACUGUUAUAAAACAGUUGCCAGUUUUAGUUUAAUGCAGCAGCUGGAGCGAUCUUAGCCAUCAUCAGAACUUCUGCACAAGAAGUCUCACAAGGAUACGGUGAAAAGCACAGAUCAGACCAGUACCUGUGUACUGGUCCACAACUUCAUUUCUGAAGCAACCAAAAACUCAGCUGUGGGGAUUUAAACAAAAUCUAAAAAUCUCACAUGGGGGAGAACUCAGUAUUACUAAAUCAACGGUGGCAACUGUCAGAACUCAGCUAGAACACAUGAAAAAUUAACGUUGUACAAGGAAGCUUAACUGUACCCACUUACACAAAUAUUAUGCUGUGGCAAUUAUCUGAUUAUGCACUGUCUCCUCCUCACCACACACUACACUAAAUGGGGGCAAUUCAACUGAAAGAACGAUUCAGACUUACUGCAUGUCUCUAUCUCACUUGGUACAUAACCUGGCUGGCACAAGGUAGAGGAAUAACAAGAAAUGGCUUAACUCAGAAACAGAUUUUCAGAAUAAUACAGCUGAUGAGGUUAUCCUAAAAUGUUCAGCUAGCCACUGGUGGCAGAUUUAUAUUAACUGUCUAAUUACACGUUUAUAAAGUGAUACAUUUUCAGGAUAAGGAUUCAAACAUUUUGUGGACACUGCAUGAGGGGGGGAAAAAGAAAUAAAGCAAUGAUGCCUGAGCAGGAUCACUCCAUAAGCAUCUCAGGUAUAAUGAUAGGACAGCAGGCAACCUGCUUUGCUUAAAAAUCUUCUAACAUGACCCUAGCCUAAACUAGGAAUAAUUUUAAAACAGCAGUGUUUUUCAGGGAUGCUCUGAAGAACUACAGAGUGCAGCUUGAAAACUUUAGCCUGUAGGUGAAGAAAAGUAUUUCUUCAGGAGGGCAGCAUAGCACUGUAGCAGGUGGUAGAUGUGCUGUCCUUGGAAGUUUUUAAGGUUUGCUUAAACAAGGGCAGAGCUGAUCAGGUCUUGUGCUAGCAGCAGUCUUGCUUCUUAAAUAAAUUUGUGAUCUCCUGAGGUUGCUUUCAAACACUACUUCUAUGAUCCCAUAAAACAAUAUCCACAGAGCAUUCUGGUGCUAUGACAGAAGCAGUGUGGAAAGAAGACUGAAGGAAUCCAUGGUUACCUGUUUAGAAGAGGAUCUGACCAGUCAGAAUUAAACAACACACUUGAGAAAGAUGAGAAAAGUACAGCUGCUACCAUUUCUGUCACAACAGCAGCAAACAGCUUCUAAAGCUCACCCAAAGGAGCAAAAACUGCCUUAAGAACACACCCCUAUCAACCAGCAUCCUCACAAAUAUGCCACUCGGUUAUGUGAGAAAACUUCACCAGUAAGCCAGUAUGUAAAGAAUUUCCCCCUGACAUCCAACCUAAAUCUUCCCUCCCUCAACUUAAAACCAUUUGCCCUUGUCCCGCUGCUAUCUACCCUUUCAAAGAGUUGAUUGCCCUCCUGUUUGUAGGUACUGAAAGUAACUUAAAACAUCACUGAGAGUUUAGGAUCAGGGUGCUUGGGACAGGGAAGCUCUGUGCUGUGGACUCAUGACAGCCCGGAAGACACAGCUGUCACCGCACACUCACCCUGGCCGGUCACCUGCCUGCGACCUGCAACCAGCAGCUGCUAACCCCUGACAAACGACCAGCUGGAAAGGCUCGCACGGUGCAGCACGUACAAGGGCCAGGAGAUGGGCGGGCCGCUCCCGUCUGUAAGAUGACAGCAACUCGGGAGAGGAGCCGGCAGUCGCACCAUCUACUAACGCGUUACCGUCAGCCGUCACGCUUCGAGCCGCAGCGAGCUCAAACUCCUCAGGGCGGCAGCCAGAUGGUGCAAGGAAUGUGCCAGAAGUCUGAUAUCUGACUCGACAAAGGAAUGACUGAAUUUAAAAAGAGAUUUGUCAGUGUUGCUGGUGCUGCUUCCCUUAACUUCAGAGAGAAGUUCGGCAUCCAAGAUGAGAACCAAGCAAAACUGGUAACCACAUCUGAUUGUUUCACUACUGGGUAAAGAAGCCCAUUCGAUUCAGGGGUCAAUGGGAUGUCAACACAGCAUUAGAGCUCACAGAUCCAGCUGCUUCCAGGCAGUUACAUCCUAUGUCUUAGAGCAACAGAAGACAGCACAGAGCUGAUGCGUUUAAGCUGGCUCUCAGUUCCUACAGGAGUUUCCUUCU